rnacentral:lncRNA from 1 species
CAGGCUUUUUCGGUUUUCUGCUUAGAAAGGUCUUAGUCACUUUAAAAUAACAAAACAAUGGUCACCCAUGUUUUCUUUCAUGACCUCUGUGGUUUCUUUUUCUAUUUAUGUAUUUUAUUUAUCUGGAAUUUAUUAUAUUAUACAUGUGAGGCAGGGGUGAAUUUCGUUUUUACAAAGAGAUAGCCAAUUUAGAUGUUAAGAACUUGGUGAGAUUCUAGACCCUCUUUCACUGUCCUGUGGUUUGAUUUUUGCUAACAUCUGUUUCCAUGGGGUGAUUAGAUAGGUUAGCAGGAAAGUGGUUGGUGUUUGUCUUCAAGUUCAGGGUCACUCCAGAAAGAGAGAAGAAGCAAGACCGGGACAGUCUUCAGACAACAUUGGGAAGAUGGUGUGCGGUGCCCAGAGGAGGGGAAGCAGGGCUCUGGAAUCAUCUUCUAUGUGACCUUGGGACGGCACAGAUCAUGCAUCUGGGUGCAAUGGGUGCCCCGAGAAUGCCCCGCGGAUCGGCGACGGUGGAGAGCCGGGCGUGGUGCCAGCCUAGGGCCAAGCCUCCCGGGACCUCAGCAGAUUGGUACAGACUUCCUCUCUUGCUGAUAUUAAAGAAGAAAGCUGCCAAGUUCUGAGAGAGCCUCUGGAGAGGGCUCCUGGCCAGGAGCUGUGGGUAGCCUCUAGGAGCAAGGGCAGCCUCCAGCCUGCCGCCAACAAAAAGAUUUCAGACCCACCACCACAAGGAGAUGACUUGUGUCAGCAGCCUGUGUGAACCCGCCAGCAGAUGCAUCCCCACCAGAGGGUCCAGAUGAGAACCCAGCCCUGGCUAACAACCUUGACACUUUGGCCUCGCAGAGGACCCCAUUAGGCUGCCCCCAGACUCCUGACCCACUGACACUGUGGAUUACCAGUAUGCAUUGUUCUAAGUUGCUAAGUUUAUGAUAAUUUAUGAUGAAGCGAGCAAAAGUGAAUAUAAGUAUUAUCUCCAUCUUACAGAUGAGGAUCUAAAGCUCAGAGGCUGAUCAGCCAUAUGAUAACUAUAAGCCACAGCAGGGACCAGCCCCAGCCUGCAGACUGCAGGCUGACAUUCUCUCCAGGACUCCGCCUGCAGUGCUGGCCGUUGUUCUCUGCGUGGCUGCCUAGAUAGGAGAGGAGUAAUCUACACGGCUUUGAUUCAGUGACCAUUUUUUCAUUUCAAUUCAACAAUUUGUUGUACUCCCACCAUGUGCCCAGCACUGUGCCAGGCGUGGGUGAUAUAGCAGGGAGCAGCACAGAUAGAGGAUCUGCUUUUGGGGAGCAGAAGCUACAAUGAGGGACAUAAAGGAUGACAAGUGCUAUCAGUGUGAUGAGGGUUUCAGAACAAGGAGGAAUGGGAUGAACUGGGAGCACGUAGUAGGGCAGCCAGCCUCAGUUCAAGGCCAGGGACAGUGUCCUUGAGGAAGUAGCAUGUAGGUCCCUUGGGGGUAGGCCUGGUGGGGAGUCAACCCUUCUGCAUGGAGAGCAAGUGAGUGGGCGGGUGACUGGGUAAGCUUUCCUGGUCAUGGGUCCCCAGGGAAGAAGGCUCUCCCAGCAAUGUGAAAUCAUCCUGUUUCUGUGCAUUGGCUUCCAAGACAUCUUGUCCCAAGGACCCAGGGCUUUAUGACUGGCCCGUGACGCUCGUGAUUCUGGAGCGUGCUUCCUGAAUGCAUCACGGGUGGAUGGGCAGAGGUAGGGGUGGCUUAGCCGUGACUCUUAUCCCCUAAUCAUGCCUGGACAUCUGGCAGGGGAAGAACUGCAGGUGGGAGUGGGAAGCAAAGCAGGCAGAUGAGGAGCAGUGAGGGUAGGAGCAGAGCCAGAGGAAAGCACAAGAAUGAGAAAGCGGGCCCUGCAUGAGCCCAGCUGCAGUGUGCGAUGGUUCAGCAGACCCAGGGUCCUGCCAGUGAGUGGGCAGCAUGAUGUGGCUCAGGCAAGGUCCCAGCAGGACGCAGAUGGCACACUGAGAUCGGGCCAUCCGAGGGGCAUGCAAUAAAGGGACUAUUUUCAAGGGCCAGAAGCUGGACCAAUAGCAGCAGUCUGUGCACUGUGCACUGCUGUGCCGGAUGGG